rnacentral:rRNA from 1 species
CCCUUAGAUGUUCUGGGCGGCCCGCGCACUACACUGGCACUCUCAAUCAGAGCCUGGAUCUAACACUUUGGGGUAUCCUAUGAAGUGGUGUCGUGACUGGGAUUAACCCUUGCAAUUAUUGGUUACGAACGAGGAAUUCCUUGUAAUCGCGGUUUAUCAGCCCGCGUUGAAUGCGUCCCUGCCCUUUGUACACACCGCCCGUCGCUCCUACCGAUGGAUCGUCCGGUGAAGCUCAUGGAGGGGCGGUUGUCUCAGCUGCCGUCGAAGUGAAAUGGACCUCACGAUCUAGAGGAAGGAGAAGUCGUAACA